AUUGAACGCUGGCGGCAGGCCUAACACAUGCAAGUCGAGCGGAUGAAGGGAGCUUGCUCCUGGAUUCAGCGGCGGACGGGUGAGUAAUGCCUAGGAAUCUGCCUGGUAGUGUGGGAUAACGUCCGGAAACGGGCGCUAAUACCGCAUACGUCCUGAGGGAGAAAGUGGGGGAUCUUCGGACCUCACGCUAUCAGAUGAGCCUAGGUCGGAUUAGCUAGUUGGUGGGGUAAAGGCCUACCAAGGCGACGAUCCGUAACUGGUCUGAGAGGAUGAUCAGUCACACUGGAAGUGAGACACGGUCCAGACUCCUACGGGAGGCAGCAGUGGGGAAUAUUGGACGAUGGGCGAAAGCCUGAUCCAGCCAUGCCGCGUGUGUGAAGAAGGUCUUCGGAUUGUAAAGCACUUUAAGUUGGGAGGAAGGGCAGUAAGUUAAUACCUUGCUGUUUUGACGUUACCAACAGAAUAAGCACCGGCUAACUUCGUG
rnacentral:rRNA from 1 species